rnacentral:tRNA from 1 species
GGAUAUAGCUCAAGUGGUAGAGCUGCAUGCUUAGCAUGCAGGGUCCUGGGUUCAAUCCCUAGUACAUCCU